rnacentral:rRNA from 1 species
AGAGUUUGAUCCUAGCUCAGAGCGAACGCUGGCGGCACGCUUAACACAUGCAAGUCGAACGAGAUAUAACUUCGGUUAUGUCUAGUGGCGCACGGGUGAGUAAUACUUGAGAAUCUACCCAUGAGUGGGGGAUACCUGCGGGAAACCGCAGUUAAUACCGCAUAAUCUCGAAAGAGCAAAGAUUUAUCGCUUAUGGAUGAGCUCAGGCCAGAUUAGAUAGUUGGUGGGGUAAUGGCCUACCAAGUCAAUGAUCUGUAGCCGGUCUGAGAGGAUGGUCGGCCACACUGGGACUGAGAACGGCCCAGACCUCUACGGAGGGCAGCAGUGGGGAAUAUUGGACAAUGGGGGCAACCCUGAUCCAGCGAUGCCGCGUGGAUGAAGAAGGUUUACGGAUUGUAAAGUCCUUUCACUCAUGAAUAUGAUGACAGUAAUGAGAGAAGAAGCUCCGGCUAAGUCUGUGCCAGCAGCCGCGGUAAUACAGGCGGAGCGAGUGUUGCUCGGAAUCACUGGGCGUAAAGGGUGUGUAGGCUGUUUUAUAAGUGGAAUGUUAAAGAUCUAGGCUCAACCUAGUUAUGCAUUUCAUACUGUAAAACUUGAGUAUGGUAGAGGAAGUAGGAAUUUCUGGAGUAACGGUGAUAUGUGUAGAUCCCAGAAGGAACACCAAAGGCGAAGGCAAGCUUCUAGGCCAAUACUGACGCUGAGACACGAAAGCGUGGGGAGCAAACAGGAUUAGAUACCCUGGUAGUCCACGCC